rnacentral:tRNA from 1 species
GUCCUCGUAGCUUACAAACCUUAAAGCAUGACACUGAAGAUGUCAAGACGGCUGCUAACGCUUCCCGAGGACA